rnacentral:tRNA from 1 species
UGUUAUGUGGCUUAGUUGGUUGAAGCGCCGAUCUAGCGAAUUCGACGUCGUGGGUUCGAACCCCACAAAAACGC